rnacentral:tRNA from 2 species
AUUAAGAUGUCCGAAUUAGGUGAUAAAUUGUAAAUUUAUUUAAAGGUUUAACCUUCUUAGUA